AUCUUAUCCAGAGAGGUGGAGGGACUGGCCCUAUGAAACCCGGCAACCAGUAUAUUUAUAUACAGUGGUGCUAAAUCCUGCAGCGAAAGCUGAGAGAUGAGUA
rnacentral:ncRNA from 1 species